UACGGAGGGUGCAAGCGUUGUCCGGAUUUAUUGGGUUUAAAGGGUGCGUAGGCGGCUGAUUAAGUCAGCGGUGAAAGACUCCGGCUUAACCGGAGCAGUGCCGUUGAUACUGGUUAGCUUGAGUGUUGGAGGGGUACAUGGAAUUGAUGGUGUAGCGGUGAAAUGCAUAGAUACCAUCAGGAACACCGAUAGCGAAGGCAUUGUACUGGCCAACAACUGACGCUGAUGCACGAAAGUGUGGGGAUCGAACAGG
rnacentral:rRNA from 1 species